AUUGAACGCUGGCGGCAGGCCUAACACAUGCAAGUCGAGCGGAUGAAGGGAGCUUGCUCCUGGAUUCAGCGGCGGACGGGUGAGUAAUGCCUAGGAAUCUGCCUGGUAGUGGGGGAUAACGUCCGGACACGGGCGCUAAUACCGCAUACGUCCUGAGGGAGAAAGUGGGGGAUCUUCGGACAUAGCGCGAUCAGAUGAGCCUAGGUCGGAUUAGCUAGUUGGUGAGGUAAAGGCCUACCAAGGCGACGAUCCGUAACUGGUCUGAGAGGAUGAUCAGUCACACUGGAACUGAGACACGGUCCAGACUCCUACGGGAGGCAGCAGUGGGGAAUAUUGGACAAUGGGCGAAAGCCUGACGCAGCCAUGCCGCGUGUGUGAAGAAGGUCUUCGGAUUGUAAAGCACUGUUAGUUGGGAGGAAGGGCAGUAAGUUAAUCCCUUGCUGUUUUGACGUUACCAACAGAAUAAGCACCGGCUAACUUCGUG
rnacentral:rRNA from 1 species